rnacentral:rRNA from 1 species
CAGCAGCCGCGGGAAUACGAAGGGUGCGAGCGUUAAUCGGAAUUACUGGGCGUAAAGCGUGCGUAGGCGGUUUGUUAAGUCUGCUGUGAAAUCCCCGGGCUCAACCUGGGAAUGGCAGUGGAUACUGGCAAGCUGGAGUGUGUCAGAGGAUGGUGGAAUUCCCGGUGUAGCGGUGAAAUGCGUAGAGAUCGGGAGGAACAUCAGUGGCGAAGGCGGCCAUCUGGGACAACACUGACGCUGAGGCACGAAAGCGUGGGGAGCAAACAGGAUUAGAUACCCGUGUAGUCCCUGUCUCUUAUAC